rnacentral:tRNA from 1 species
AGUUUUGUGGUCUAAUGGUUAUGAUUUCUCGUUCACACCGAGAAGGUUCGGAGUUCGAUCCUCCGCAAAACUA